AUUCCAGCUCCAAUAGCGUAUAUUAAAGUUGUUGCAGUUAAAAAGCUCGUAGUUGGAUUUCUGUUUUUAGUUACCGGUCCGCCCAUGUAUUUGGGUGUGUACUAUGGUUACUGAAUUCAUUUUUUGUGAGGAUCCUUGGCUGGCAUUAAGUUGUCCGGCCUUGUGUACUUGCAUCUUUUACUGUGAAAAAAUUAGAGUGUUUAAAGCAGGCGUUCGCUUUAUUUGAAUACAUUAGCAUGGAAUAAUAAGAUACGACUUGUGUGGUCUAUUUUGUUGGUUUGCACACGCGAGUAAUGAUUAAUAGGGACAGUUGGGGGUAUUCAUAUUUCAGCGUCAGAGGUGAAAUUCUUGGAUCGCUGAAAACUGACUACUGCGAAAGCAUUUGCCAAGAGUGUUUUCAUUG
rnacentral:rRNA from 1 species